UACGUAGGGACCAAGCGUUGUCCGGAAUCAUUGGGCGUAAAGAGCGUGUAGGCGGCUUGUUAAGUCUUGCGUGAAAUCUCGGGGCUCAACCCCGAGCGGUCGUGAGAAACUGGCAGGCUAGAGUGCGGGAGAGGAGAGUGGAAUUCCUGGUGUAGCGGUGAAAUGCGCAGAUAUCAGGAGGAACACCGGUGGCGAAGGCGGAUCUCUGGGCCUUACCUGACGCUGAGGCGCGAAAGCUAGGGGAGCGAACAGG
rnacentral:rRNA from 1 species